rnacentral:rRNA from 1 species
UAAAGAUUCAUCGCUGAUAGAUAGGCAUGCGUUCCAUUAGGCAGUUGGCGGGGUAACGGCCCACCAAACCGACGAUGGAUAGGGGUUCUGAGAGGAAGGUCCCCCACAUUGGUACUGAGACACGGACCAAACUCCUACGGGAGGCAGCAGUGAGGAAUAUUGGUCAAUGGGCGUAAGCCUGAACCAGCCAAGUCGCGUGAGGGAUGAAGGUUCUAUGGAUCGUAAACCUCUUUUAUAAGGGAAUAAAGUGUGGGACGUGUCCUAUUUUGUAUGUACCUUAUGAAUAAGGAUCGGCUAACUCCGUGCCAGCAGCCGCGGUAAUACGGAGGAUCCGAGCGUUAUCCGGAUUUAUUGGGUUUAAAGGGUGCGUAGGCGGCCUUUUAAGUCAGCGGCGAAAGUCUGUGGCUCAACCAUAGAAUUGCCGUUGAAACUGGGGGGCUUGAGUAUGUUUGAGGCAGGCGGAAUGCGUGGUGUAGCGGUGAAAUGCUUAGAUAUCACGCAGAACCCCGAUUGCGAAGGCAGCCUGCCAAGCCAUGACUGACGCUGAUGCACGAAAGCGUGGGGAUCAAACAGGAUUAGAUACCCUGGUAGUCCACGCAGUAAACGAUGAUCACUAGCUGUUUGCGAUACAGUGUAA